rnacentral:rRNA from 1 species
UACGAAGGGGGCUAGCGUUGCUCGGAAUCACUGGGCGUAAAGCGCACGUAGGCGGUUUCUUAAGUCAGGGGUGAAAUCCUGGAGCUCAACUCCAGAACUGCCUUUGAUACUGGGAGACUUGGAGUCCGGGAGAGGUGAGUGGAACUGCGAGUGUAGAGGUGAAAUUCGUAGAUAUUCGCAAGAACACCAGUGGCGAAGGCGGCUCACUGGCCCGGUACUGACGCUGAGGUGCGAAAGCGUGGGGAGCAAACAGG